AUACGGAGGGUGCAAGCGUUAUCCGGAUUUACUGGGUUUAAAGGGUACGCAGGCGGUAAUUUAAGUCAGUGGUGAAAGCCUACAGCUCAACUGUAGAACUGCCAUUGAAACUGAAUUACUUGAGUAUGAUAGAGGUAGGCGGAAUACAACAUGUAGCGGUGAAAUGCAUAGAUAUGUUGUAGAACACCGAUUGCGAAGGCAGCUUACUAAACCAUUACUGACGCUCAUGUACGAAAGCGUGGGGAGCGAACAGAAUUAGAAACCCUAGUAGUCC
rnacentral:rRNA from 1 species